rnacentral:rRNA from 1 species
UAGGGAAUCUUCCACAAUGGACGAAAGUCUGAUGGAGCAACGCCGCGUGAGCGAUGAAGGCCUUCGGGUCGUAAAGCUCUGUUGUUAGGGAAGAACAAGUAUCGGAGUAACUGCCGGUACCUCGACGGUACCUAACCAGAAAGCCACGGCUAACUACGUGCCAGCAGCCGCGGUAAUACGUAGGUGGCAAGCGUUGUCCGGAAUUUAUUGGGCGUAAAGCGCGCGCAGGCGGUCCUUGAAGUCUGAUGUGAAAGCCCACGGCUCAACCGUGGAGGGUCAUUGGGAAACUGGGGGGACUUGGAGUGCAGAAGAAGGAAAGCGGAAUUCCACGUGUAGCGGUGAAAUGCGUAGAAAAUGUGGAGGAACAUCCAGUGGCGAAGGCGGCUUUCUGGUCUGUAACUGACGCUGAGGCGCGAAAGCGUGGGGAGCAAACAGGAUUAGAUACCCUGGUAGUCCACGCCGUAAACCGAUGAGUGCUAAGUGUUAGAGGGUUUCCGCCCUUUAGUGCUGCAGCUAACGCAUUAAGCACUCCGCCUGGGGGAGUACGG